GCGGAUAUGGCGGAAUUGGCAGACGCGCACGGUUCAGGUCCGUGUGGGGCAACUCGUGCAGGUUCAAAUCCUGUUAUCCGCA
rnacentral:tRNA from 1 species